CCUACGUGAGGCAGCAGUGAGGAAUAUUGGUCAAUGGCCGCAAGCCUGAACCAGCCAAGUCGCGUGAGGGAUGACGGUCCUAUGGAUUGUAAACCUCUUUUGUCAGGGAGCAAAUGGCGCCACGUGUGGCGUUUUGCGAGUACCUGAAGAAAAAGCAUCGGCUAACUCCGUGCCAGCAGCCGCGGUAAUACGGAGGAUGCGAGCGUUAUCCGGAUUUAUUGGGUUUAAAGGGUGCGCAGGCGGAAUUUCAAGUCAGCGGUAAAAUUUCGGGGCUCAACCCCGUCGUGCCGUUGAAACUGGCGUUCUUGAGUGAGCGAGAAGUAUGCGGAAUGCGUGGUGUAGCGGUGAAAUGCAUAGAUAUCACGCAGAACCCCGAUUGCGAAGGCAGCAUACCGGCGCCCUACUGACGCUGAGGCACGAAAGUGCGGGUAUCGAACAGGAUUAGAUACCCUUGUAGUC
rnacentral:rRNA from 1 species